UAGGGAAUCUUCCGCAAUGGACGAAAGUCUGACGGAGCAACGCCGCGUGAGUGAUGAAGGGUUUCGGCUCGUAAAGCUCUGUUAUGAGGGAAGAACACGUACCGUUCGAAUAGGGCGGUACCUUGACGGUACCUCAUCAGAAAGCCACGGCUAACUACGUG
rnacentral:rRNA from 2 species